AAACCACGGGGUUGUUGGGAUUCGCUGCCAGCGCCGACAUCGCGAUUACCACUGCCGGAAGCGGAAAUGGCGGCGGAAGUGGAAACGGCGACGAAAGGCGAGACAGGCCGCGCGGGAGGUGGGGGUUUGAUCAACUGAACACUGCCUUUGAGAGGUUUACAGGACAUCCUUCAAUGUCCUGACUGUGCUUGAGUAGAAGUCAUGCUUUCUGUGGCAGAAAGAUGAGCAAGGCCAGGGAUGGGCAGUAGUACAAGAUGAAUGAUGGCUCAAGACGUCUCUCUGCCAAAAUACAUAUUUAGUCCUCUGUGCCAGGUAGGAACAAGUGUGAAAGGAUGUUCAGAGUCUACUCUUGCUUGUGUUACUGAACCUUUUGCUGUUCUUCUCUGAUGGGUUUUGCUUUUUGUCAUAGGAGAGAAUGUCUGUUUGUCCAGGUGAGUUCUGUCUGUCCUGCAGUUUGACAGGCCAUUUCUUCUCCCUCACUGUUAGGCACUAAACUGGGCUUGUGUAAAUUGCCAGAUGCUUGCUUUCUGAGAAGGGCCACUUGUGAAAGGGGGCAAAAUGGACAUCUGAGAGUAUAAAGAUGAGUCACUGACUGAAAGGGACAGACAUGGCUGGAAAACGGAUUUAUUUUCCAAAGCCUUCUGCUGCUUCAGUCUUCUGCAUGUCAUGUCAAGUGUGCCAGAAAAUGACAGGUCUGAAGCUGCAAGGAGAUUUCAAGAACUCAAGGAGGUGGAGAAAGCCCACACAAACUGAGGAGGGGGAGAACUUGAAUAGAAGCCAGCCAGACAUUCCAUCUCCCAGGAGAAACAUGGCAGCCUCACCACCAGCUGGGAUGUGGCCAUGGGACCCUGCUCAGCUGUUCCGUCAGGGAGAGAAAGAGCCUCGUGAUGGCAGAAGCUCAGGGUAGGAUGGUGCAAGAAUGAAGAAAGGGAACUAUCUUCAUUCAUCCUCAAGAGAGGAGGACUAAAAAGUAGCAACAUUUGCAACAUUGCAACAGUUGCCUCACUCUUUGCCAAUGAUUUCAAGUGCAUAUGGUUUCUGUACAGACCUGUUCAGUACUGGCCACCAAGCUUCCCAGGAUAACCUGCCAGUGACCAUCAAAGGCUGCAGAUAUCUCAGAAGAAUGUUGACCAUUAAACCUGACAUUUGUGAUUGAAACAAUAAAGCCAUCAAACCAAACCCA